rnacentral:lncRNA from 1 species
UAUUUGCUUUCAAAAUCUGCAUAAAGGCUCUUGAGUUCAAAUGUUCAAAUUUGUUUUUAGUUUUCCAGUGAAUUGCAGCAGUGUUCAUGGCACACUGAAAAAAUGCAGGAGUAUUUAGCUUUCCUUCAAGAUAUGAAGCUUCCUUUAGAUAACCAGGAAUCUGUGGAUAGCAAUCUAGAAGCUUUAAAAAAUCAACUUAAACAAUUAGAGACAUUCAAGUUGAGACUGUCUCCAGUUGCUGUGAUUUUAAGAAAGGAUAUGAAAUUGGCAGAAGACUUCUCAAAGUCUCUUCCCAGUGAUUUUCCUAGAAGGUAUCUUGAAGAAUUAAAUUUGAGCCACCAGAGUUUGCAGACUGCCUUCUCUUCCCUGAGCAACAUGUCUUCAGAAAGAAUGAAACAGAUCAUGCUUGCAAUUGACUCUGAAAUGUCCAAACUAGAAGUUUCCUAUGAAGAAUUUCUGCAUAAACUUAAGUCAUUCUCAGAAUUGAUAUCAGAGAGGAGCAGAUCUGUGAAGGAUCUUAAGACCAUGAAAGCUGAAGAUACUGAAAAUGUAAAGAAAAAUUUGGAGUUUCUUAAGGCAAGUGUCAAAGUAAAUAUGGCAAAGGACAUUACAAAACCUGUGGAUUUAAUAUAAGUA